GAUGAACGCUAGCGGCAGGCUUAACACAUGCAAGUCGAGGGGCAGCACGAGGUAGCAAUACUUUGGUGGCGACCGGCGCACGGGUGCGUAACACGUAUGCAAUCUACCUUAUACUGGGACAUAACAGCGAGAAAUUGUUGCUAAUUUCCCAUAACACUGCGAAGUGGCAUCACUUUGCAUUUAAAGCUCCGGCGGUAUAAGAUGAGCAUGCGUCCAAUUAGCUAGUUGGUGAGGUAAUGGCUCACGAAGGCUACGAAUGGUAGGGGUUCUGAGAGGAUGAUCGCCCACACUGGUACUGGGACACGGACCAGACUCCUACGGGAGGCAGCAGUGAGGAAUAUUGCGCAAUGGAGGCAACUCUGACGCAGCCAUGCCGCGUGAAGGAUGAAGGUCCUAUGGAUUGUAAACUUCUUUUGUACAGGAAUAAAAACUUCUACGUGUAGGAGCUUGAAGGUACCGUAAGAAUAAGCACCGGCUAACUCCGUGCCAGCCGCCGCGGUAA
rnacentral:rRNA from 1 species